GUCACUUCCGUUGCCUUACUUCCCCCUCGCGGAAGCGCUAAGCCCCUCGGCCCUGUCUCUAUUAGAUCUGCCCUCGGAGAUCGCUCUUGUUUUCCAGAAGGGAGGGGGAAUGGUCCCUGUCAUCCAGCCAGCCAGUUUUCAGAUUGUUAUCACGACAGUUGGCGACCCAGAUGGGACCCGAGUGAGGGCCUCCAGCCCCCGGGACUGCUUCUCAGAAGAAUUCUUCUCAAAAGACUGCCCCGGAGGACGGACUCCCCCUCGGGCCUAACCUAAAUUCUUCCUAGCCAAGAUAAGUUAAACUUAUGAAUUGGAGAACUUCACCUCGAUCAAAUUAAUUAUUGGUUCUACAGUUAGGUAAAUUCAAAAUGACUGAAAAUAGAGCUAUCAAAUUGUGUAAAGACUGGUCUAAAAUAUAUUAAAAUCCAGAUAGGUCCCUGAUCUGGUACAAAGAAGAAAUGUUCAAUUAAAGGCUUUGAGGUUAUAAUCAGUAAAACUGUGCACACUGACUUUUUGAUUAAACUAAAGGAGGGAAAAACAUUUCUGGCAAGUACAUUUUGUUUGCUCAUGUGUGUUUUUGUCUUGAUAAUUAAAUUAACCCUUUUCCUACAGUUUGAUCAACUGAAAGGAAAACAAUAUAGAGGGUAAAAACUUUCUGCAGAAUUCUGAAAAGUCUUCAAAUGGAAAGUCUCAUUCAUUCUCUCUCUCUCUCUCUCUCUCUCUCUCUCUCUUUCUUUUUCUCUCUCUCUCUCUGUCUCCCUCCCUCUCUCUCUCUCCCUGUCCCUCCCCCUCCCUGACCCUUUCUACAUCUGACCAUUCUGGGAAGGGAGGGGAGGAAGUGGGAGAACAGACAAGAGACAGAAAUAAGAAGGCAGGAAUCUUUGUCUCCAAUCUGCAGGAAUUUAUGGCAUUAUAAACUAAGUAGAAACCAAAAGUUGUUUCCCAUAUUAUAAUUCUCCAAACUGUGUCUAAAAUGUUUUUGUAAAAUUUUCUUUUACUGGUCACUCUGGGGAGUGACCACAGUUUACUGAUUAAAGAAAAGGGAACUGCAACUAGUGAAUUCCAAAGAGUUCACAGCUUGUAGUCAGACCAUGGAGAAAGGAAAACUGGUUUUCAAAUCAGGGAGCAGGUGAAGAGCAAGUAAAAUUUAAUGUUCUUCCUGAAUGACACAACAGAAAUAUAUUAGGUUAAUUAGAAAUGCUAUGAAACUUGUACUGAUAAAACUAUAAUAAAUACUAAAAUAAUAUUUUCAACUUAGAGUUACUGAGGGUAGAAUUAAACAAAGGAGUUAACAGGGUGCUCAGAUUACAAAAGACCAAAUUAAAAGGAACAUAUAGCUUACAAAUAUUAGUAUAAAAUACUGAAGUCUUGAGAAAGCAAACAAAAUUUGUGAAUUAUUUCAGGCUAUUCCUUGUCUCAUUGUCUUCAGUAUUGAAACAAAUAGACAUUUUAUGAGAUGAAAUUAUGAAGCUUACAAUUUAAAACAAAUUGUUAUCAGUUGGAAGUGUAAUCCCAUAUUUUAUAAAGUACAAAUUGAUAAAACAAAUCCCAGUAUUCUGAUAAAGGAUAUGUAGGUUAGGUUGAAAAAAAAAGAAAGAAACAGAUUUGGCUUUUUAAGUGAUUUGGAAGGAAAUGGAAAAUUAUAUUCUUCAUCAGACCCAGAUUAAUUCUUGAAGGCAAAAUUGUGAAGGCAUAAUCAAAGAAUUUUUCUAAUACAAAUCAUUGUUGAAAAUUUGAUGAUGAGGCAAAUGUAAUUGGUUCAGAGAAGAUAACAAUCUGCUUCACUAUCAAAGAGCUAGUAAAAUUGUUAUAACAUUUUUUUAAACAUCAAAGUAUUAUGUCAAUCAAAAGUACUAUUUAAUUUACACUUAAUUGUUUUAAUUAAUUCUUAGCAAUUAUAGUCUCACCAUCACUUUUCGAUUUGUGUGGUUAUAUUUAAGCCAGUUAACUUUGUAAAAUUAAAACAUAAGCUGCCUGAAAACAGUAGGCUCUUGGGAAAAUUGAGAAAUAAAUAUUUUCAUUAGGGAUUAUAAAUCUAGAUUUGAUCUGGUUGAAAUUUUGUUCUGAAACUAAAUUAUAAUUGUGGUAUAUCAGAGAACUUAAUACCAAAUGCAUUUGCUAAAGGCAAUAUGCCAGAAAAAUGAAUGCAUUAAGUAAAUGAGUUAAAAUCAAACAUCAGGAAUUUGUUACUUGACUUUAGGUGAAUUACUUCACCACAGUUUUCUUUUGAUGAAUAAAUAGCAUCCAUCCCAGUCGUUGUUGGAAAAAAAGAUAAUUAUAAAGUGCUUGGCAUAGUAAGCACUAUCUAUAUAUUGUCUGUUGCUAUUGGGUUUUAGAUUAAAUAACUUUGGAGGUUAUAACAUGCCGUACUUUGACUUGAGAUUAAAACAUUAUAUUCAGGCUUUUGAUUUUUCUUGUAUUAUGUAUUAUUUCUUGUGUUGUAUUAGAAAUGUAAUUAAAAAGGUGGAUUCUCUUUUAAUUAAAUGACUGUGCUUUUAAAUAUAUACUAUUAUGCAAAAUUUUUGUAAAAUAUUGUGAAGUGCUAUUAGAGAAGCCGCUUCACUAUUGAACGGUUAAGAUGAAUGUAACAGUGUUUGAAAUUUGUGAUAAUGUGGUACCUUUUUCCCUAAAAUGUAUACUUAUUAUAAUUUAAUGAGAAGUUUGAGGACCCCCCUCCCCCUGCCAGAAUUGUGAUUUGAAUUCGUAACUGUGCUUCAGUAAAGUUAUGCUAUCUUGUAGACUCUGUGAAAGAGCUAAUGUUGUACAUUUUUAAAACUGACUGGUUACUUUUAAUUGACUGAAUUGAGGUAAUUUGACUUACUUGAUUUUGUAUUUUAUAAAUUGAACUACUAAAAGAUACUAAAAUUAAUAAAAUGACUAAAUAUUCGAUGGGUUAUAUUUAACCAUUAACCUUUUAACUAGAUAGUCAUAAUUUAUUGUUUGAAUGGUGAAGUAUGUGUGUAACUGGGAAGUUAUAUACUAAAUAUUAAAACCUAUCACUCGUGAAUUUUUUUCCUCCAGAAACUAUAUUGAAUUUAGAAAACUUUAUCAUUGGAUACUAUAUGAUUUGUAACCAAUGCUGUUGAUUACUUAUAUUCUGCCCAAACAUAUGGUUCAUGAAGUUUUGCUAUUUAAGGUUAAGUCUUCUGGGACAUUAAUUUGAUAUAAUUCUGAGUUUUAGAUUCAAGUAUUCUGUUACGAUCACAAACCCAAUAAUCCACCAUUCAAAGGGCUGCCUUGUUCUGCAGUCAGAGGACUGCUACAGGUGGAUAUUUGCCUUUGGAAGAAAGUUGAGAGGACAACCUUGCGAAGGUGAAGGUAGGAUCCUCUUAACUUGAUUUCCAGUUGAGCUGCUUCCUUUUCAAACAGGAAGUUUUCCCACCUGGAUAAUUUUGAGCCUUUUGGUACCCUGUGAAUAAUACGGAGCUUUGGCAUGAUUGGCUGUUAACUGUUGCUCUGGUGUGGAAUCGAAAUAGAGCUUAGUGUGUUUUUCCCUUGUUGCAGCUUCUCAAUAUAACUAUGUCCCUCCUUUUCCUUUCAUAGCAAAUUUCUGAAAUAAGCUCUUGGAAUGAAACAUUUCAGCUUAUAAAGUGGAACCAUAUUCUAGAGAUUUAUGGCAGGUAAUCAAUUAUUAGUACUGAAAUAACUGAGUUAUAUAAAUAUGAAAGAUCUUCCAUGAUUUUCGUCUGGUUUGUAGCUAUAUUCAUGUAUAUGCUAUAGUAAUAAUAUUGUCAUAAGGGGAAUGAGAGGGAGAUUUGACAGAUGUAUAUGACAAAGUUUUCAAAAUUGCAUUAAGGACUUCAACAUAUAAAAUUGCAUUGAUAAACUAUCAAUAGUUAUGAAGAGAGUAUAAUUAUUUUCCUAUUUAAAGUAUUUAUCUUACAAUUUUAAGAGAAAGAAGAUCUUAUUUUCCAGUUCAGACCUUCAUGGACUCUUUAUAAGAUCAAAUAUAGGGUUUAAGUAAAGAUAGAAAACGGCAACUGAAAUUCUCGGAAGUUUCAGGGAAUUAAGGGUUCUUAAUUUGAUGUUCUUAUAGGUCUGUUGUUAAUAAAAUCAGAACCAUAAGGCUUGAACUGGUUUUUUACCAUAUGAACUAGUUGUUGUACUAAGUUGUAUUGAGUUUGUAGUAAGUCUUCCUGCAUGCUCUUGGAACCUGAGAAGCAGAUCUGGAAGAAGGAGCAACAUUUGUGGCCUCCAACAUCCAAGCUGAAAGCCCUCCACAAGUGUGGACUGCAGUAUAACUUGACCUUUGGACUUUGUCAUCUGUCUACAUCAAGAAUUUCCAGUGACCCAGCAAAACUACUUUGUCAAUGUCCUCACUUCUCUUUUCCUCCAUGCGCCACUGUCUUUGUACCAAAGGGGACUGCCCCCUGAAAAUUUUUGUCAAUGCGCCGGCCAUAGGUACUAAGGUUGUAAGCUGUAGAUCAGCCCACUUACUUUUUGGUCUUAAAGGAUUUGUGCUAAAAUUCUAGCACUACCAUCAGUCCAGCACUGUUGCCUACAGCCCCCUGUCAUGACAACUGGAUAAUGAAUAAUGCUGUCAUUGGACUUCAUUGUCAAGUAUGACAUAAUAUGCCCCUUGGACCCCAUGGGUGUUGAAUCUGUCACCAGCUCUAUGAAAGCACUCUCGAAUCAUGGAUACCUAUUCCUGUCCUAAGUCCCCUUGUUCUCAUUUGCUGCUAAUUCCUUGUGGGAUGAUCCUUAUUUGGAGGGUUCUCCUGGGUGUUUUCUGACUGGGAGAAGUGGGCAUACUAAUCUCUGGCCUUCUCUAAAAUGUUGUAUGUACCAGUAGAGUGUUCUCACAGGGUGACUUUGCAGAGACAAAGUUAACCCAUGGUGGUUUUUUCCCUGUAAUUAUUGCUUUCCGUAUUUUAUGAUGUUUAUGUGAAUUUCCUCUCUCAGCCUGAUUUUGCAUACCUAUACAGUAUCCCCAUUGCUAAGGGAUGCUGAUCAUGUCAAAUUAUAUUGAUUUAGUUUUUAGAUGGUCAUUCAUGGGAGACAUGUCUCCCAAAAAUCAAAGCAAGAAAUUGUGGAAUUAAAAAUUGAUACUCCAUUUUAUUUUGUAUUAUUUAUUAAUAUUUAAUUCACUAUGUAUUGGGUGAUCAGGUUGCUGUGUAUUAGUCACUCUCCUUUAGUUUGUGAAGUUGAACUUAAGCCUACAGCUGCAAGCUCCUUAUUUUUAACACAAGUCACCGUCUAACAACAAAGUAAUCAUGCAUUGCUGGCUAAGCCACCCUGUUUUUGUAUCCCCAUGUACAUUUUAAUAACCACAAGGACAGACAACUUGACUUUGUUCUACGAUCUCCGUAGUAACCAAGAAAACAACCCUGAGUGUUAGUUUCCUUUUCCUAUGUACUUUCCACUCAAAAUUUCAAUUCAAUCAGGAAUAAAUAGCAUGCCCCCUCAGAAAGCAUCAACUAGACCACAGGAGCUUUCCAGAGGAUGUUGGUCCAAAUGUUAGGCCACCUGGUGACUCGUGUAAUUUGUGGUUAGUGACCUUAGCCCCAACCAGUCAGAAGUAAGAUAUGCCUGUCUUGCCCAAGAUUGUGUAGGCUGAUCAGUUUUCUUGAAAUUGACUCUAAAAGAGCUGCUGUGACUGUCAGAUGCAUCCUUGGCUACUCAGGAGCCUUGGAUCCUGUUUAUUGCAGUUGCUAGUUUUGCUAAUAAAUUGAAUGUGCUUGGA